CCUACGGGUGGCAGCAGUGGGGAAUAUUGGGCAAUGGGCGCAAGCCUGACCCAGCAACGCCGCGUGAAGGAAGAAGGCUUUCGGGUUGUAAACUUCUUUUGUCAGGGAAGAGUAGAAGACGGUACCUGACGAAUAAGCCACGGCUAACUACGUGCCAGCAGCCGCGGUAAUACGUAGGUGGCAAGCGUUGUCCGGAUUUACUGGGUGUAAAGGGCGUGUAGCCGGGUUGACAAGUCAGAUGUGAAAUCCUGCGGCUUAACCGCAGAACUGCAGUUGAAACUGUUGGUCUUGAGUAUCGGAGAGGCAGGCGGAAUUCCUGGUGUAGCGGUGAAAUGCGUAGAUAUUAGGAGGAACACCAGUGGCGAAGGCGGUCUGCUGGACAGCAACUGACGCUGAGGCGCGAAAGCGUGGGGAGCAAACAGGAUUAGAUACCCCUGUAGUC
rnacentral:rRNA from 1 species